GUACAUUUAUAAAUACAUCUACUUAUCAGACCUAAGUCUUAACUCUAGUAAACUUGUUUCCCAUUCUGUUCCAAGGUGAAGUGAUCUCUGAUUAUUUUAUUUACUGUCACGUGCAUUUGGCUAGCCAUAAUAUGUAAGUCACUUAGAGGGAAAAGCAUGCAGAAGAAAAAGAAAGCUUUAGGGAGUCCUUGGUAAAGGGUAGCUACCUUGUCACGAACCCUACCCAGCCCAAACAUGUAGCACAUCCUUCAGUGUAACUCUCUACCCUGUUGCCUUCUCCUGUAUUCCCCUCCUGAGUGCACUACCUCAUGACCUUGAUUAACCGAAAUUAAGGCCUCCCACAGUAACUUCUGAAACUCUUUCUUACAAUCUCAAGGCUUCACUUCUGGAUUGCUUGUCCUCAGUGGGAGUGCUAUCAGGCCAUACCCUUAGUGCUACUGGCCUGAGGAUGCCACUUACAUGUGUUACUGAGGUGUGAAAUACAUUCUUUCCCUAGCUUGAACUCUCACAAUUAAUACUUUUUUCCAGGAAAAAAAAAAGUGAGUUAAUUAUUAGAGACAUUCUUUUCUAACCACCCAAUAAAGAUUCUGUUGGGUAUCAGGCUUCUCCUUAGCCAAAUAGCCACUAGGAAGGUGACCAUGAGCUGCUAGUUACAGUGUUGAAGGGAUAUAAAGGACCUAUAUUGUCUCAGGCAAAUAUGGCUAAGGUGAACUUUGUAAAAACAGUCUUCAAAGGAGUGAAUGGCACAGAUUACUUACUGUGUCACCUGUUUUAGGGGCCAUUGUGCCUUUAGUGAAGUGCAUAAAUGAAAAGCGUAGGUAAAAAUGUCCAAUAAAGACUCCAGUCUCUUAAUGACAAUAAAUAAGCAGUUUCCCACCCAAAACAUGAAAUGGCAAAAAAUAUAUAAUCAAUAUAGAAUAAAGGGUAAAACUAAUAUUUUCUGCCUUUAACGAGCAUUACAUGAUUUAU
rnacentral:lncRNA from 1 species